rnacentral:pre_miRNA from 1 species
UGUUAAAAUUUUUUAUUCAUUUGCACUGUUAAAAACUGACGUAAUUGAUGAAAUAAUUAAACAAUUACAUGUAACGUGCUACAUGUACUUUAUUUUUAAUAGCAGAAAUGAAUGAACUUUUUAACA